rnacentral:rRNA from 1 species
AACGAACGCUGGCGGUAGGCCUAACACAUGCAAGUCGAACGCCCUAGCAAUAGGGAGUGGCAGACGGGUGAGUAACACGUGGGAACCUUCCCUAUACUACGGAAUAGCCCAGGGAAACUUGGAGUAAUACCGUAUACGCCCGAGAGGGGAAAGAUUUAUCGGUAUAGGAUGGGCCCGCGUCGGAUUAGCUAGUUGGUGAGGUAAUGGCUCACCAAGGCGACGAUCCGUAGCUGGUUUGAGAGAACGACCAGCCACACUGGGACUGAGACACGGCCCAGACUCCUACGGGAGGCAGCAGUGGGGAAUAUUGGACAAUGGGCGCAAGCCUGAUCCAGCCAUGCCGCGUGAGUGAUGAAGGCCUUAGGGUUGUAAAGCUCUUUUGCCGGGGACGAUAAUGACGGUACCCGGAGAAUAAGUCCCGGCUAACUUCGUGCCAGCCGCCGCAGUAA